GGGGGUGUCCUGGUUUCGACAGGGAGCUUGACUUUGAGUGGGCGUGUCCAGGCUGGUGUCCAUGGUCCUGGUGAAAAGGAGACCAACAAAUAAUUGCAGACUCUUUUGAGCCUGUUGCAAUGGCUGCUUAAUUAGCAGAACCCAUGUAUGAGGGGUUGCACCCAAGAAACAGAACGCAACAAACAAGGUGGUAACACCCUUUAAAAUUGUUACGCAGGAGUGAUUACUAAUACCUGCUAAAAAAAUAUGUGAGUGUUGCUAGCUAUACUGUAACUAGAUAGUCCUGUCUUUAGACGAGAAACUAAGACUACGCACGUAGGCCGCUCUUACAAUUGUUUUCUGGACGCGAGUUCGAUUCUCGCCACCUCCACCA
rnacentral:tmRNA from 1 species